GCGCGAAAACUUUACAAUGCGGGAAACCGUGAUAAGGGAACUCCGAGUGUCCGUAAAUUCGGACUGUCCGUAUGUUUAAAAAGCAUACGAAGAAAGGGCCGGGCAAGACCGGUGCCAGCCGCCGCGGUAAUACCGGCGGCUCGAGUGGUGGCCACUAUUACUGGGCUUAAAGCGUUCGUAGCUUGGUUGUUAAGUCUCCUGGGAAAUCUAUCGGCUUAACCGAUAGGCGUCCAGGGGAUACUGGCAAUCUAGGGACCGGGAGAGGUGAGGGGUACUUCAGGGGUAGGAGUGAAAUCCUGUAAUCCUUGGGGGACCACCUGUGGCGAAGGCGCCUCACCAGAACGGCUCCGACAGUGAGGGACGAAAGCUGGGGGAGCAAACCG
rnacentral:rRNA from 1 species